GGUGUUGUGGUGUAGUGGUUAUCACGUUUGUCUUACACACAAAAGGUCCCCAGUUCGAUCCUGGGCAACACCA